CAGACAUACGAAGGAGUUCAGGGGAAUGGUGUCUGAUUCGAGACCAUUCGUCACAAGUAAACAGUAGCCUUGAGAAUGAUCUCGGACCAGGCUUCAUUCCCCCUAGCUCAUAGUAUCAUGC
rnacentral:pre_miRNA from 1 species